rnacentral:rRNA from 1 species
CACGUAGGGCGCAAGCGUUGUCCGGAAUUAUUGGGCGUAAAGAGCUCGUAGGUGGUUUGUUACGUCUGCUGUGAAAUCCUAGGGCUUAACCCUGGGCUUGCAGUGGAUACGGGCAGACUAGAGGUAGGUAGGGGAGAAUGGAAUUCCUGGUGUAGCGGUGAAAUGCGCAGAUAUCGGGAGGAACACCGGUGGCGAAGGCGGUUCUCUGGGCCUUACCUGACGCUGAGGAGCGAAAGCGUGGGGAGCAAACAGG